GACAGAGGAGCCAAGCGUUGUCCGGAUUGACUGGGCGUAAAGCGCACGCAGGCGGAACGGCGCGUGGGGGUGUGAAAGCUGGCGGCUUAACUGCCAGUCGCCAUCCCAUACGGCCAUUCUGGAGCCUUGCAGAGGGCAGUGGAAUUGCCGGUGUAGUGGUGAAAUGCGCAGAUAUCAGGAAGAACACCAAUGGCGAAGGGCAGCUCUCGUGGGACGGUACUGACGCUGAGACGCGAAAGCGUGGGGAGCGAACAGG
rnacentral:rRNA from 1 species